UACGUAGGGUGCAAGCGUUGUCCGGAAUUAUUGGGCGUAAAGAGCGUGUAGGCGGCCCGAUUAGUCCGCUGUGAAAGUCCAGGGCUCAACCCUGGAAUGCCGGUGGAUACUGUCGGGCUUGAGUACGGAAGAGGCGAGUGGAAUUCCUGGUGUAGCGGUGAAAUGCGCAGAUAUCAGGAGGAACACCAAUUGCGAAGGCAGCUCGCUGGGACGUUACUGACGCUGAGACGCGAAAGCGUGGGGAGCAAACAGG
rnacentral:rRNA from 1 species